GGAGCUUUCGUGUGUGAACUUGGAAUCUUCUAUAUGGGAAAUUGAAUUGGUACACAACGACCUCCUCCUCCGAAAUGAAAAUCUCAUCACAAAUACAGUAGCAGAAACACCUAGCAAUAUGGAUAUACUCACAUAAUUCAUUAAAUAACCUUGAAUACCAAUAUCUUCAAAUUCCUUGGCAGCUGAGAAGACCACCAGGCUGUACAGCUCCCUAAUUAGUGUGAUGGCGUUGCCUCAUUUUUUGUUCUGCAACAUGGCUGUGAUUUGGAGCUUGUCAGCUGAGACUGCUCCAUGGCACUGUUGCUCUUUAGUCGGGCUGAGCAAUCAACUUGACAGGGAGCACGUAUUUUACCUAUUUCCCUUGAGCUGAAACUUCAGUACGUGACAGAACUUGGCUGUGUGAUUUUUCUGGAAUUCACAGCCUCUAGAUUUGGGUAAGAUUGGAAAAAGAAUGCAGAGGAAGGGGAUUAUCUUGAAGAGCAAGUCUUCAAGCAGUACUCAGGGAGAAGGCAAUGAUUGUUGCUCUUUUGAGAUUUGGUCCUAAAUAUUGCUAAUAUGCUUUGAGCUAACUGUUUCAAACCUCCCAUCCAAGCCAGAAGUGCAAGAAUUUCUGAGUUUUCUUCUGGGUUCUUCUUUUGUAGUAUCUGUAGCUACAGAAAAAUAAAUCUUUGUGAGAAAAGCUUGUGCCCCAGGAAUCUGUCAUGUCUCAGUCUGUAAACCUCACUCAGCCUUCUCUGUCUUGCAGAAAAUAAUACAUUGCGGUGGCUCAGGUGUACUACCUUGGUCCAAAUAUCUGUGUAUUCUGUAGUAAAUGUGAGAAUGCUGGCAAUAAAGCGUGGCCUUUAUGCAGUCUUAGGGACCAGUUUUGGCCUUAGAUACUUCAUUUUACCCGCCUAUCUGGUUUAUUUGGAAGCUGGAUGAACAUGCAUAAAAUUGUACCAACUGGUCCGUAUUCUUCAAACUUACUAAAUCAAACUUCUGUAUGUGCACUUGUGAGCUUCUUUCA